rnacentral:rRNA from 1 species
GACGAACGCUGGCGGCGUGCUUAACACAUGCAAGUCGAACGGAAAGGCCCUGCUUUUGUGGGGUGCUCGAGUGGCGAACGGGUGAGUAACACGUGAGUAACCUGCCCUUUACUUUGUGAUAACUUCAGGAAACUGGGGCUAAUACCGGAUAGGAGCUCCUGCUGCAUGGUGGGGUUUGGAAAGUUUCGGCGGUUGGGGAUGGACUCGCGGCUUAUCAGCUUGUUGGUGGGGUAGUGGCUUACCAAGGCUUUGACGGGUAGCCGGCCUGAGAGGGUGACCGGCGACAUUGGGACUGAGAUACGGCCCAGACUCCUACGGGAGGCAGCAGUGGGGAGUAUUGCACAAUGGGGGGAAGCCUGAUGCAGAAACGCCGCGUGCGGGAUGACGGCCUUCGGGUUGUAAACCGCUUUCGCCUGUGACGAAGCGUGAGUGACGGUAAUGGGUAAAGAAGCACCGGCUAACUACGUG